rnacentral:lncRNA from 1 species
ACACAAUUUUGUUCCCAAGUGGGCUGCCACAUAAAUCUGUUUCCUAAAUUGCAAUUCUAAGACCCCAAAUAAAUGCUUUUUUUUUUUUUUAAACUUUAGUUCUGCAUCUUUUCUCCGUGGACAGAAUGAACUGGAGUUUGUGGGGAAGGCCUGCACUUCUUUAUAUCAUGGAAAAAAUAGAAGCACUGUGGGCAUGGGUUGAUGCAGGAUAUCAAAAAUGCACCAACAGUUGCAGUAAAUAAAAGAUCUUCCACCAUGUGCAAUCCACGGGGAGAACACCAUUGGAGACCAAGGGAGCAGCCUGACCUUUCCCAGCACUUUCACUCUGUGUAGGAAGGAAGGAUUUCAUAGGAGUAGUUUCAGUAUUAACACAAAACUCCUCAUCUUGAAAUAUCUGGCCCUCUCAAGUCUGACCUUGGAUACUCUGAACUUUCACUAUCAUAUGGAUGGAUGUGGAUUUCAUUGUACUUUCUCUGGUAAGAAUUUCUUGGGCUUCCUAAUCCUAUAAUCAGUUCUAGGAAUUUCUCAUUCAUACCUUUGA